AGAUCUUUCAGUGGUCCUUUGCCCAAUUUUAAGAGUAAAUGGACAGUGCAGUGCUCAUGGCCUGAGAAGAACAUGGUGUCCCAGGGUCCAGAGCCCUCAGAGUCACCUCACCUAGUAAACCACCUAGAUCAACAGAGAUGCUGAGGGAACCAGAAUAGAUAGAACAGGGGAGAGAUGGAAAAGAGACCACAGAACUUUGGAGAGGAUGUUCCAGAUGGGAUGAACUUACUAAUCAAAGCAAGUGAAUGCAAGUGGAUGGGCUGUAUGCUGUGGUUGUCCAGAUCCUCCCCUUCAGGGACCAGACACUGUUCCCCCUGCUGUGGGGAGGGCUGGCUGCUCACCUCACAACUGCACCCUCUCCAGGAACUGCCCUUGGCCAGAGAAAACCACCUUACCCAAGUUUACAACCCUUCCCCAGGGACAGCUGACAUCCAGUAACUGUUCUACUCAGGGGUAUAAAGACUCUGUAUCCUUGCCUCGAUUCACAUCUGAGGGCUCUCCUAGUUUCAGAGCUCCCUGUGGGGCCAGCCGAGGUCCCGGCUGCAACUGCAUAGAAGUUCGUUUUCUCAGCCUGACCCAUCCUGCCUUCCUAAUUCCCUCACGGUGUGUUCCAAACAACACCCCUGCAUGUAAACCUCCUACAUGCAGAACUCUGCUCAGAGUCAGUGUUCUGGGGAAUCUGACUUAAGACUGCUUUGUUAUAAA